UACGUAGGGGGCAAGCGUUAUCCGGAUUUACUGGGUGUAAAGGGAGCGUAGACGGCGAUGCAAGCCAGAUGUGAAGGCCCGGGGCUCAACCCCGGGACUGCAUUUGGAACUGUAUAGCUAGAGUGUCGGAGAGGCAGGCGGAAUUCCUAGUGUAGCGGUGAAAUGCGUAGAUAUUAGGAGGAACACCAGUGGCGAAGGCGGCCUGCUGGACGAUGACUGACGUUGAGGCUCGAAAGCGUGGGGAGCAAACAGG
rnacentral:rRNA from 1 species